GACGAACGCUGGCGGCGUGCCUAAUACAUGCAAGUAGAACGCUGAAGGAAGGAGCUUGCUCUUUCUGGAUGAGUUGCGAACGGGUGAGUAACGCGUAGGUAACCUGCCUGGUAGCGGGGAUAACUAUUGGAAACGAUAGCUAAUACCGCAUAAAAUUGAUUAUUGCAUGAUAGUCAAUUAAAAGGUGCAACUGCACCACUACCAGAUGGACCUGCGUUGUAUUAGCUAGUUGGUGGGGUAACGGCUCACCAAGGCGACGAUACAUAGCCGACCUGAGAGGGUGAUCGGCCACACUGGGACUGAGACACGGCCCAGACUCCUACGGGAGGCAGCAGUAGGGAAUCUUCGGCAAUGGACGGAAGUCUGACCGAGCAACGCCGCGUGAGUGAAGAAGGUUUUCGGAUCGUAAAGCUCUGUUGUAAGAGAAGAACGAGUGUGAGAGUGGAAAGUUCACACUGUGACGGUAUCUUACCAGAAAGGGACGGCUAACUACGUG
rnacentral:rRNA from 1 species